rnacentral:rRNA from 1 species
GUAGGGAAUAUUGGUCAAUGGACGAAAGUCUGAACCAGCCAUUCCGCGUGCAGGAAGAAGAUUCUAUGGAUUGUAAACUGCUUUUAGCAGAGAAGAAACGCCUUCAUUGAUGAGGGUUUGACGGUAUCUGCGGAAUAAGCACCGGCUAACUCCGUGCCAGCAGCCGCGGUAAUACGGGGGGUGCAAGCGUUAUCCGGAAUCACUGGGUUUAAAGGGUGCGUAGGCGGGAAAUUAAGUCAGUGGUGAAAGUCUGUUGCUUAACGAUAGAAUUGCCGUUGAUACUGAUGUUCUUGAAUUGGGUUGAGGUUAGCGGAAUGUGACAUGUAGCGGUGAAAUGCAUAGAUAUGUCAUGGAACACCAAUUGCGAAGGCAGCUAGCUGGGCCUUGAUUGACGCUGAGGCACGAAAGCGUGGGUAGCGAACAGGAUUAGAUACCCUUGUAGUCC